rnacentral:lncRNA from 1 species
GGGCUAGAAAUUGGAGAAAAAUGUAAUAGAAUAUUUGAUUGGUGAGCAAGACACUGGGAACGCAGCCACAGUAAUGUGUCCUGGCUUAGCUGGAAGGGCACACUCCUUCCCUCAGCACCCUCUCCCCUUCCUCUUCUUCCUUCUUCUCAUCUUUGGUCAGCAGAAGGUUUUUAUUUGAUAUUUUUUGAUGUACAGUGGUGCCAGGCGAGAGUCUGGAGACCUUGCAGUUAUGCCUCUUGGUUGCUGUGAGUGGUAUGAAAAAAUACAAACAAGAUGACAAAUGAGUUCCUAGAGUAUACGGUUCAGAUAGAGAAAGUUGAAGCUGUCAGAGAAGGAAUUGAUGGCUAUGACUUGACUGGGGAGAGGAAUCUUCAAAUACACUGCCCACUGAGCAAGAGACGGCUAUUAGACGACUAUUUUUUUUAGACCUAAUUUCAACUGUCUAGAUCCUGUAUAUUUUUAGAGGGAAUUUGGACGUUGCACUUUAACCCAUUAUUCGAUAACUACUUUUUUCAAAAAGCAACUCUAAGCAGCAUAACUGAUCUCCAAGUACUUAACCAAAAUUAUUAUGAUAGAUGUCGAGCAAUAUACAGCGUAGUUUAGAUAUGGCCCAGAUUUAGACUUGGUCAAAAUUUAGACAUCUAAAAAACGACCUGUGGUAGCCUGAUUUUAGACCAGUCGUCUAGGCUACAUUUAGACGUCUAUUAGACCUCUUUUAGACCAAAAAAAUGCUUAGUGGGUGACAUCAGGUUUUGUAAUACUAUUUUAAAAUUAUCAUUAUUGUGGGGACUUCGACUCCCCACAAUGGCGAUAAUUCUCAACUGCAAAAGAAACUCCAGGGAAAAUCCUGAUAACCAAGGUCAUUUCAAAUCAGUCUGCUGACAGGGGCCUAGCAAAUAUCAAAUCUCACUGUCAACAAUGUGGCAAAAAAAAAAGGUAGUAUCUAUUAGUAUUGUGGUUUUGGAAAACCUUUAAACACACAUACAGUAUAUAUCAAAUUAUAUUAAUCCAGUUUAAGCAGGUAAUUCCCAUAAUACCUUCAGGUGUGAAUGGUCUUUUCUGUACUGUUUUUGUGCUUAAGAAUCAAAGCAAAAGAGAUUCAGAAGACUGAAAGAAGAAAAAAAAAACAUAAGUUCAGUCUACAGAAGGACGAAAAAUGUCUCAAUGAAAGCAUCCAUAAAACAUAUUGUCUGGUUUCUUCUUCUGAGACAGGUGCCCAAAAAGCCAUCCAUCAGCAGGGACAGAAGCAGCCAAUCAUGCCGGCUCAAAUCAGCCAGACGUUUAGCCUCGCUCCCAGGUGGGCGGGCGGUAAUUGCCAGGCGCAACUUUGCCCACCUGGCCAGCUGCCACUGGGACACAAAGAGGCGGGAGGAAGUCAGACACAAGGGAAGGGUGGAUGGGAACGAGGAAUAUUUUCAGGAAACAGACGGUUCGGGACUGGCACAGAGAAGUGAGGCAUUGCACACCUGAUGACUCAUCUGAGAUAUGUGGUACAACGAUUCUAUUUCCAUUGUUAAGUUGCUGUCAUGUCUUUGCUCAUGCUGUGCUCGGAUGGCGGUGUUUUCCCCCAGUAAACACCGCUGUUUUUCAGCUUUGCCAUCCCGAGCCUCUGUGGUGCUUGUCGUUAUGCUGCCUCAGCAGCGCACUGCCCUGAAGAGAAGAGCAAUCAUGCUGGUGGAGAAUUUUAAAUUUCACACCCAUACUGUGGGAGGGAAUGGGACAUGGGGGGCUUUGGACAAGGUGCUAAUUGAGGAGGCGAUACACCACCUGUGUGUGCUCCAAGGCAAGUAUUCGUCCAAAUAGCUGAUGCAGGAGCUUCAAACCGAGCUGCGAAGAGCGGCGCUUGCUCACUGCUCCUUCACUCAUACAAAUGCUGAGGAUGCUUUUCUGAAUGGGACCCCAGAUAUACUUCAAAAUCCGUCUUAAUUGCUAUUGAAUGUGGAAAACAACAGGCUUAUUGUUUUUCAUGUCUGUGUGGGUGUAAUACACCACAGUCUUCCAAAGGCAUAAUUGUCCUUCAUAGCAGGGAAUCCACGCUUAGAUUUUCCACAGUUUAAAAACACAGAGCAAUUCAGGCACCAUGGGAGCUGAGAUCUGCCAGUGGUUGUGGCGUUGGAUGGCAGAAGGCCUGAUUCAGACGUCCUUCUGGUGAUUGGGGCUGUCAGAUAGGCUGGUCGAGGGAAAUUGGUGCAAAGCUGAAGACUGCUAUCCCAGUCAUCAAUCACCUGCCUGUAGCUGAAGUGUGAGCCAAUCGGCCCAGGCCUCAGGCCCCCUGGAUUCAUCAGAGGGGACAAGACCUGACAUCCAGAAAAAUGAGCUCAACCCUGUCCACAUCAAGACGAAUCGGAGCCCAGUGUCAUCAACUCACACCGCAUGAGUUCAAAAGGGGCAAAAGAGAAUAAUGUAAAGACCUUUUCUCUAUUUUUGCGAAGAUUAUGACACUUGAUCCCACAUGAGCACAUCUUCUUGCAAGGAACUGAGCAAAUGUGUGUGAAUGUACACGUCUCUCGCUCCCUCUCCUCUCACACUCUGAUCCAGGGUUGGGGCACUGAAGGGGAGAAUCAUCAGGCUGAAAAUGAUUAAUACCCCCUUUUUUGUCCCUUCUGGCAUCUGCAGCACAUCUGCCCCUCUGGGACCAGGACAGAGAUGGUUCCCGCUUUAGGAAUUAAGCUGCCCUUCACCCUCUCUCCAGAGGUUGUAGGUGUGGGAAUCUCCCCUGCAACCCUCUCCUGAAAAACCCUCCAGGGUAGCAGAGUCUGGGCCCACCUCAGAGCCCAGCACAUUAAGCAGAGGCGAUAUUUAUGAUGUGGAAAUGGCCUGCUAUUUAUUCAGUACACAGAGGAUUCAUAGUCCCUCAAAC